GUAGCUACUCUUAAUGUUUAAGGUCCCAUGUGCUUCUUCUGUCUACUGGAUAUGAUAUAUAAGUAAUUAUUGGUUUGAUCAUUCUCAACUAAUUAAAUGGCAGUAAUGGCAAACUUAGCAGGGUACGCUUACAGAAGAAAAAAAAGUCACACAUCUGGGAUGGCAUGAGGGUGAGUAAAUGAUGAGAGAAUUUUCAUUUUUGGGUGAACUAUCCCUUUAACAUCCUUUUUGUAAGGCUAAACUGUCAGGCCACUGGACUGGGUGAUUCUGGAAACCAACUCCAGGCCCUCAAGUUGUCCUCCCGGAGGAGCUUCAGAUAGUGACAACCUAUGCAGGUUCCACGUAUGCAGAUCAAGUCAAAAAGCACCUGAUAAAUGGGGCCUCUGGCAGGAUGCAAGCACAGUCAGACAGUUGAUUGAAGAGGCAGCAGCAUUGCAGCAAAACAGCAAUGUCACAAAAAUGGACAUAUCCCUCUGGUGCAGAGAAAAGGAAAAAGAAGAAAACCUAGGAAGAGAAAAAACAGCAAGAUAAAGGUAUGUUAAGUAGCUCGGCUAUGUUGCGAGCUCUAUGCUCUAGUUAGUUAACAUAGCCUAGGUAGCAUAUCUUCUUGUUUUAGGAAAUUUCACGUUUGAUUAAUCAUCUGUAAAUAGCCUUGACAUCUUAAUAUAUUAUAAUACAACAUAUUACUUAGCUAGUUUUAGAUUAAAGUUUUUGUCUUCUGUGUAAAAAUAACUUGGUCCUGGGUAUAUAUUU